rnacentral:rRNA from 1 species
GACGAACGCUGGCGGCGUGCUUAACACAUGCAAGUCGAACGGAAAGGCCCUGCUUUUGUGGGGUGCUCGAGUGGCGAACGGGUGAGUAACACGUGAGUAACCUGCCCUUGACUUUGGGAUAACUUCAGGAAACUGGGGCUAAUACCGGAUAGGAGCUCCUGCUGCAUGGUGGGGGUUGGAAAGUUUCGGCGGUAGGGAUGGACUCGCGGCUUAUCAGCUUGUUGGUGGGGUAGUGGCUUACCAAGGCUUUGACGGGUAGCCGGCCUGAGAGGGUGACCGGCCACAUUGGGACUGAGAUACGGCCCAGACUCCUACGGGAGGCAGCAGUGGGGAAUAUUGCACAAUGGGCGGAAGCCUGAUGCAGCAACGCCGCGUGCGGGAUGACGGCCUUCGGGUUGUAAACCGCUUUCGCCUGUGACGAAGCGUGAGUGACGGUAAUGGGUAAAGAAGCACCGGCUAACUACGUG